rnacentral:lncRNA from 1 species
AGUCUUACUUCCGGGACACUACAGAGCCAAGAGCCUGGGUGACUCCUGCCUGCCCACACAAUUCCUCUCGCAGGUGGCUCUCUGUUGCCGGCUUCCAUAGGCUAGCCCCCACUCCACCCCAGACUCUAGACCGGACCGCUCCAGAUUUAGCAGUUGAGGCCCUUUAAAAGCCUCACAGCUGCCUCGCUGCGGGCAGCCUUCCUGGGAAAUGUAGUCUCCUGAGUGAAGCUUCGCAGCUUCCCCGGGCUGUUUUGCUACUGGCCAAAAAGGGGCUUUGCUACCACCUUGGAUUACUGUGACAGAGAAACGAAACCUUGUGUGAAAAACGUAUCCAUCGCAUCAGAGUGGGAACCAGGAUCUUAUCCGGCUUACAAUGCUCUUGACUGUAACAUCUGCAAGGGACACACGGGAGCCCUGAAAGGCCUGGUGUCUCUACAGGGAGGAUGACUCUUCAGCCACUGUCCUUUGCUUCUGUCUCCCGGUUUACUUGCGAAUGUUUAUUGUGAUGAGUCUUGUUGAGGCCUCUAGUUUCUGCUACACCAUCAAUAUUGAACUCUUGUGGAGACUCCUCUCAGAUAUUUGGUUGUAGCCCAGAGUCAUGGAGACCCUGCAGGUAUGGUUCCGCGGGACUGACCACUUCGCAUUCUCCAGCGGCUCUCAAAUGUUAGGGCGAGCCAACUCCAAGGAUCUGGGCCUGGGUGGGUGGUAGCUGAGUUGGUGUAGUGGCAGCCGAGUGGAGUUGUGGGGCAGCUCAGCACGGCCCACGGACAUCCGUGUAGCCUUCCAUGGUAACGUGAGCCACAGACAUCACCACCGCCUCUGUCUGGAUCUGGACCACUGACCCACUCACAGCCCUCAGCAGGACUUUAAGCCUCAUCGUGGUUUCAGAUGGCUACACAAGCAUCAGCGUGGCCCCCCUGAGGCAGCAAAGCCUGAGGACAUCACCACAUCUUCAGUCAGAGGCACAGAGCUUACAUCCCCGUGGACCUCAGACUUCAUCCUGGCCUGGGGCAGCAGCAUGGACCACAGACACCAGCAUGGCCUCUGGUGACAUCAUGGACCAUGGUGGUCCUUCCAGGAGGUCCAAUCCAGACAUUGAACUUUUCCUCAUCUCAGGCCUCCAUCAUUGAACAGAGCCAGGAUGAUCCUGUGACCUGACUGGGUGGCAGGUUCGGGACCUGAGUCUGCAGCUGCACAAGCUCCAGGAUGCUGCACAGCACCCUGCACACCUUACUGCGCUAUGACGGCAGGUUAACCCUCUCUCUUCCCUAUCACCACGUCUCCAGUUCUGCCUCCCUCCAUAGAGCACACACCGCUGUUUUCUGUCUUUCCCAUCUCCCCAUCACAUAUGAUCAUCACAGUGGCCUUUUCCCCAAGGAAAUGAAUUUUUGUUUUGUUUUGUUUUGUUUUGUUUUGUUUUGUUUUGUUGGUUUUUCGAGACAGGGUUUCUCUUUAUAGCUCUGGCUGUCUUGGAGCUCACUUUGUAGACCAGGCUGGCCUCGAACUCAGAAAUCCGCCUGCCUCUGCCUCCCCAGUGCAGGGAUUAAAGGCGUGCGCCACCACACCUGGCAAGGAAAUGAAUUUUAUGGAGAAAUAAAUAAUAAAGAGAAUUCUGACGCUGGGCAGUGGUGGCACACACCUUUAAUCCCAGCAUAUGGGAGUCAGAGAGGCAGAAAGAUCUUUGAGUUUGAGGCCAGCCUAGUCUUUGGAGUGAGUUUGGGGACAGCCAGGGCUAAACAGAGAAACCCUGUCUUG